GCCCCCUUAGCUCAGUCGGCAGAGCGUUUCCAUGGUAAGGAAGAGGUCGUCGGUUCGAUUCCGACAGGGGGCU
rnacentral:tRNA from 1 species